UUAACUGAAAUUGGUAUAGAAUUAGAACGUUUGCCGCUAGGGGCGCUGUUCCAGCUGCAUACAAAUUUGAGUUA
rnacentral:pre_miRNA from 1 species